GGUCUAUACAUGCAGUCGAGCGAUGGAUUAAGAGCUUGCUCUUAUGAAGUUAGCGGCGGACGGGUGAGUAACACGUGGGUAACCUGCCCAUAAGACUGGGAUAACUCCGGGAAACCGGGGCUAAUACCGGAUAACAUUUUGAACCGCAUGGUUCGAAAUUGAAAGGCGGCUUCGGCUGUCACUUAUGGAUGGACCCGCGUCGCAUUAGCUAGUUGGUGAGGUAACGGCUCACCAAGGCAACGAUGCGUAGCCGACCUGAGAGGGUGAUCGGCCACACUGGGACUGAGACACGGCCCAAACUCCUACGGGAGGCAGCAGUAGGGAAUCUUCCGCAAUGGACGAAAGUCUGACGGAGCAACGCCGCGUGAGUGAUGAAGGCUUUCGGGUCGUAAAACUCUGUUGUUAGGGAAGAACAAGUGCUAGUUGAAUAAGCUGGCACCUUGACGGUACCUAACCAGAAAGCCACGGCUAACUACGUGCCAGCAGCCGCGGUAAAACGUAGGUGGCAAGCGUUAUCCGGAAUUAUUGGGCGUAAAGCGCGCGCAGGUGGUUUCUUAAGUCUGAUGUGAAAGCCCACGGCUCAACCGUGGAGGGUCAUUGGAAACUGGGAGACUUGAGUGCAGAAGAGGAAAGUGGAAUUCCAUGUGUAGCGGUGAAAUGCGUAGAGAUAUGGAGGAACACCAGUGGCGAAGGCGACUUUCUGGUCUGUAACUGACACUGAGGCGCGAAAGCGUGGGGAGCAAACAGGAUUAGAUACCCUGGUAGUCCACGCCGUAAACGAUGAGUGCUAAGUGUUAGAGGGUUUCCGCCCUUUAGUGCUGAAGUUAACGCAUUAAGCACUCCGCCUGGGGAGUACGGCCGCAAGGCUGAAACUCAAAGGAAUUGACGGGGGCCCGCACAAGCGGUGGAGCAUGUGGUUUAAUUCGAAGCAACGCGAAAAACCUUACCAGGUCUUGACAUCCUCUGAAAACCCUAAAAAUAGGGCUUCCCCUUCGGGAACAAAAUGACAGGUGGUGCAUGGUUGCCCUCACCUCCUGUCCUGAAAUGUUGGGUUAAUUCCCGCACCAACCGCAACCCUUGAACUUAAUUGCCAUCAUUAAGUUGGGCCCUCUAAGGGGACUGCCGGGGAAAAACCGGAAGAAAGGGGGGGAUAACUCCAAAUCCUCUUGCCCCUUUAGA
rnacentral:rRNA from 1 species